GGGACGGCGCAGCACAUCUCGCGCUGCCAUAAGGGUUCCCGGGCACCUGAGUACCUGAUUUGGGAUCAGAGGGUCGCAUGUUCGAAUCAUGUCGCCCCG
rnacentral:tRNA from 1 species